rnacentral:rRNA from 1 species
UACAGAGGGUGCAAGCGUUGUUCGGAAUUACUGGGCGUAAAGCGCGUGUAGGUGGCGAUGUAAGUCGGGUGUGAAAUCCCUCAGCUUAACUGAGGAAGUGCACUCGAUACUGUGUCGCUUGAGUGUUGGAGGGGAUGGCGGAAUUCCCGGUGUAGAGGUGAAAUUCGUAGAUAUCGGGAGGAACACCUGUGGCGAAGGCGGCCAUCUGGACAACUACUGACACUGGAGACGCGAAAGCGUGGGUAGCAAACAGG